CGGGAGUAGCUCAGUUGGUAGAGCGCAACCUUGCCAAGGUUGAGGUCGCGAGUUCGAGACUCGUCUCCCGCUCCA
rnacentral:tRNA from 2 species